rnacentral:rRNA from 1 species
AUACGGAGGGGGUUAGCGUUGUUCGGAAUUACUGGGCGUAAAGCGCACGUAGGCGGACUGGAAAGUUGGGGGUGAAAUCCCGGGGCUCAACCCCGGAACUGCCUCCAAAACUUCCAAUCUAGAGAUCGAGAGAGGUGAGUGGAAUUCCAAGUGUAGAGGUGAAAUUCGUAGAUAUUUGGAGGAACACCAGUGGCGAAGGCGGCUCACUGGCUCGAUACUGACGCUGAGGUACGAAAGCGUGGGGAGCAAACAGGAUUAGAAACCCUAGUAGUCC